UGGCUCAGAACGACGCUGGCGGCGCGUUUAAGCAUGCAAGUCGAGCGGCAAGGGCCUUCGGGCCCCUAGAGCGGCGGACGGGUGAGUAACACGUGGACAAUCUGCCCCCCGGCCCGGGAUAGCCCAGGGAAACCUGGAUUAAUACCGGAUGAGACGGGACCCGCGAUGGCGGGAUCCGGGAAAGGCGCUGCGGCGCCGCCGGGGGAUGAGUCUGCGUCCCAUUAGCUAGACGGCGGGGUAACGGCCCACCGUGGCGACGAUGGGUAGCCGGCCUGAGAGGGUGGACGGCCACAUUGGAACUGAGACACGGUCCAGACUCCUACGGGAGGCAGCAGCUAAGAAUCUUCCGCAAUGGGCGAAAGCCUGACGGAGCCGACGCCGCGUGAACGAAGAAGGCCGUGAGGUUGUAAAGUUCUUUUCGGGAGGGGGAACAACCGUGGCAGGGAAUGGCCGCGGGAUGACGUGAAUCCCGGAAUAAGCCCCGGCUAACUACGUGCCAGCCGCGGC
rnacentral:rRNA from 1 species